AUGAUGACUUUAACUAAAUGUCUCACAUUUCUGCUGCUGUCAGCCAUUUCUGGUGAAUUCCAAACCACUGCACUCUUCCUCUUUGACGUCCAGGCUCAUGUUCGGCUCUGUUCUAUAACCAAACUGAUUUUCUCCUCAGGUGUUUGCAGUCAGACUCUGACUGAAUCUGAACCGGCGGUGAAGCGGCCCGGAGAAUCCCACAAACUGACGUGUACAUAUGCAGGGAUAUCUAAUAACAUCUCUGCUGAUAUCAGCUGGAUCAGACAAGCUGAAGGAAAAGGCCUGGAGUGGGUUGCCUUCAUUUCUGCUCCGACAGGAGGCACUAAAUAUUAUUCAGCAUCUGUCAAGAAUCGCUUCACAAUUUCCAGAAACAACGACAUGGACCAGGUGUAUCUGCACAUGAGCAGCCUGACGACUGAAGACUCUGCUGUUUAUUAUUGUGCUCGAGAGCCACAGUAA